rnacentral:rRNA from 1 species
AAUAGGGCGGUACCUGACGGUACCUAACCAGAAGCCACGGCUAACUACGUGCCAGCAGCCGCGGUAAUACGUAGGUGGCAAGCGUUGUCCGGAAUUAUUGGGCGUAAAGGGCUCGCAGGCGGUUUCUUAAGUCUGAUGUGAAAGCCCCCGGCUCAACCGGGGAGGGUCAUUGGAAACUGGGGAACUUGAGUGCAGAAGAGGAGAGUGGAAUUCCACGUGUAGCGGUGAAAUGCGUAGAGAUGUGGAGGAACACCAGUGGCGAAGGCGACUCUCUGGUCUGUAACUGACGCUGAGGAGCGAAAGCGUGGGGAGCGAACAGGAUUAGAUACCCUGGUAGUCCACGCCGUAAACGAUGAGUGCUAAGUGUUAGGGGGUUUCCGCCCCUUAGUGCUGCAGCUAACGCAUUAAGCACUCCGCCUGGGGAGUACGGUCGCAAGACUGAAACUCAAAGGAAUUGACGGGGGCCCGCACAAGCGGUGGAGCAUGUGGUUUAAUUCGAAGCAACGCGAAGAACCUUACCAGGUCUUGACAUCCUCUGACAAUCCUAGAGAUAGGACGUCCCCUUCGGGGGCAGAGUGACAGGUGGUGCAUGGUUGUCGUCAGCUCGUGUCGUGAGAUGUUGGGUUAAGUCCCGCAACGAGCGCAACCCUUGAUCUUAGUUGCCAGCAUUCAGUUGGGCACUCUAAGGUGACUGCCGGUGACAAACCGGAGGAAGGUGGGGAUGACGUCAAAUCAUCAUGCCCCUUAUGACCUGGGCUACACCACGUGCCUACAAUGGCCCAGCCCACCAACAGCGCCUUA